CUCACCCGGGGGUUUUUUUUUUUUUUUUAGGUUUUUGUUUGUGGCUCUCGAACUUGCCUGAUCCACAAAUUCAACUUUGACCUUUAUAUCUCCUCCUUGGCUUCUGUUUCUGUCUCUGACCUGUUCAACUUCAAUUGAGCUUGAAAGAUUGAGAAACAGAAGGUUGGAGGAUUGGAUGAUCAAGUAUUAACCCAUUUUGAAAGAAAAGGUAAACCAUGAAAAUCCCAAAGUGAUAUCCCAUGACCUACAACUAUUUUCUUAUCGGUCAAAUCAUUAUUGGAAGCCUACUCGGAGUCUCCAUCUCUUGGAAGAGUUGUAUUAAUUUGCGUUUGGUUGGAAAGGCUGCAGAGAUUUGAUUCAAAUUGGUGGAUUUGGAUAACUCAAUUUCAAUUAGAGAAAGACGAAGAGAAGAACUGGAUUCAUAUCUGAGGAUUUGGCGUCACUUUGAAAGAAUUGCUGAAAAAAGAAGAGUUCAGCAAUGAAUACUUUGAGGUUUGUGAUUCUAUGUUUCAGUUUGUAGGAACUAGCUGAAACCGAAAACCUCCACAUAAUGAAGAUGAAGAUGAGCCGGAAACAGUGAAGUAGGAAAAUCAAGAUUAUGUAACAUGUUCAUAGUCUAUUGAACUAUUUCUAAUAAUCAGCAUUUAAUCUUUUGAUCAUUGUAAUGUGUUGCUCAUUUAUCUUCUCAAACACCAGACAUGUAAAUAUUGAUUUAUUCAAAACUUAUUUAUAUAUUAA